GACCACUCCAGCCGAGCAGCAAUGCUGUGUUUGGCAGCAGGGGUGGAUUGGUCCCGUUGUCUCAUCUGGGGCUGCCCUUCAAUAAACCACCCCCCUUCCCGGGCAGACUGUCGCGAGCAUUAGCCACCCCUCACCCCGCCGUGCUUACACCAGCAGCGCCCGAUAAUGCCCCUCCGCCCCGCCCCCCCCCCCCCCCCGCCCCGCCACUGGAGUUUACUGCCACUGCAGUAAAGAGCAGGGCUGCAGCGGAGGUCAUGCCCUCUUCCCAGGGCCGCCUGCCGCUGCCACUGACUGUCACAGAGGGAGUUUGCACAGACAGUGCCAGCAUGCGCAGGGGAAUGUCUGUUGGCUGCAGCCCCCAAACUGUGGCAGUCACCAGUGACGAGGAGGGCACUGUGGCGGGCAGCCAGUCGUGAUGCAUCAAAGAUCGGCGUGUUAGUGGAGUGAGCUUGUUUUUGGGUUGCCAUGGUAACGGUGUACGUAGUAGAAUGCGCCUCACGGGUGACGUCAGUGGGUGUGCGGCGACGGGGCGGGUGUGCAGUCCCAGCCCGGGAACCGCUAUUUUCUUGUUUGGUGGGCACUAUAAAGCUAUUUUUAAACAAGUUGGAAGGCACGUGGGCAAGUAUUUUAUUUGUAGCUGUUUGUCCAGAAAAGGCAUGAUGGCAGAGAUGGAGGUAGGAAGGCCCCAAACUAAUAUCUUGCCAGGCCCCAAAUGGUCUUAAUUCAGCUCUGAAAUCAUACAUCUGACAUUGAGGAGCCUACAGAUUUAUUGAGGACAUAAGGGUUUUGUGAUCGCAUCCUCUAGCUAAGAAUGGACCAGGAGGACAAUUGAUUCAUGGAUGCAAUCUAACCGAAGGCAGUACUCAACACUUGUGGUUUGUGUUGGCAACCAUUGUUUACUAUGGUGAUGCUACUGGGCGGAAGCAGCCGGACAUCACUGACCUAGCCGUAAGCUGGACCCGCGCUGCUGGAGGCGGGAGUUAGCUCCCAGCGCUAAGACUGACAGGACUCAAGGUGCUUUACAGGCAUGAAAACACAAAGCACAUAGGGCCCGAUUCAGCAUGGAGCGCAAUUACGAUGUGUUCACAUGCUAAAGCCCUUCUGCAGUGUACGUACGCGCAGAAGCCGCACUGCAUGUGUGCACACAGUGAAUUGCGCAACAUCUCACAUAUGCAAAUGCUUCUGACUGAUUGAAGGGCAGAGGCGUUCAUGGGGAAGGGGUGUCAAUGCGGCAUUUUAUGAGCGCCAACGCCACGUUGGGGGGGUACGGUCUAGACAACACAGGCGUGUCCGGUCCGUUUGCAUCACACGCAGCAGCUGCGACCCGAAACAUGGCGGAUAGCCACCUGCCUUUGCAGCUAGGCUGCGCAGGCAGAGGGCUACCCUUAACAUGCGAGCGCUUAGUUGCUGAGCAAAGCGUACGCAUGUUCGCGCGGGGGGGGGGGGGAUGCGAGCCGGACUUGCCCUGUGCUGGGUGUCCCCCUGCAUACUAGUGUAAAGGGCUGUAGUUGUGCGAUUUGUUUGCACAGCUACAACCCUUGCUGAAUUAGGCCCAUAGUACAAAGAGUAAUACAGUAAUACAGAAAUAAAAAUAAAAAAACCUAAAUAGAACAGUUUCGACAUCUGCCUACUAUCAAAUUGUGAGUUCUUCUACAUUAAUUGUAACUUUUUAUUUUCUCCAAAUGUCGUACUCUUUUUACACUUGCUUGGCAAUUAGAGAACAGACAUUUUCAAAGUGCAGAAUUUAAUAACUGUAAAUGCAUUGGUUUAAACGUUCAGAAUUAUGUGAAUGCUUUCAUUUAAAAUUAUUAUAUUGCUUUCCCUUUUUCUUUUCCCCUCUUUUUCCCUCUCUUUCUAUUCUUUCCUAUAUUUUCAUAAGCGGUUUUAUUAGAAUGUUCCUCUUUUACAUGUUUUUGAUGUUGGAAAAUAAGCAGACAAUCUUUUUUCCAUGCUUUGGGCGCUCAAAUGUUUUAUAUUGUCAUAAAUGAUAUGCGAUGAUCUUGUCCCCCUUUUUUUUUAUGGAACUGUACUGUUGUGAUGAUUUGUCUGCUGUCUUAAUAAAAAACAGUUUAAAUAAAAAAUGUUGUAUUAUAUUGGACAAUCAACAAUAUCCUUUAUAUGACGAAAGUCUUUAUAGUGCCACAAAUCAGAAAUUCUCCUCCACUUGUUACUCAUUUUAAUAUUUCAACUAGAAAAUAAUAUCCCUAUUCC